rnacentral:rRNA from 1 species
GAGUGAUCAAGUGUCUUAAGGGCAUUUGGUGGAUGCCUUGGCAUGCACAGGCGAUGAAGGACGUGAUACGCUGCGAUAAGCGUCGGGGAGGUGCGAAUACCCUUUGAUCCGACGAUUUCCGAAUGGGGCAACCCACCUUAGAUGACUAGAAAAUCUGUUUUGUUGGAGCAACGCUGGAUGGGUUUACACCCAUACAGACCGCUAGGUCGUCGGCCCAUGUGGGCCGCCCCCGCGGAGCGCCAGCAUUCCUCUGGAAUGCGUACGGCGCGUGAGCGAGAACAGCACAGCUUUCUAGUCAUCAUAAAUAAGGUAUCUAACCUUGAAUACAUAGGGGUUAGAAGCGAACCUGGGGAACUGAAACAUCUAAGUACCCAGAGGAAAGGACAUCAAACGAGACUCCGCUAGUAGUGGCGAGCGAACGCGGACCAGGCCAGUGGCUUUUGUGAAUAAAGUGGAACGAGUUGGAAAACUCGACCGAAGUGGGUGAUAGUCCCGUACACGUAGAAUAGCAGAAGUCCUUGAGUAGGGCGGGACACGUGAAAUCCUGUCUGAACAUGGGUCGACCACGAUCCAAGCCUAAGUACUCGUGCAUGACCGAUAGCGAACCAGUACCGUGAGGGAAAGGUGAAAAGCACCCCGACGAGGGGAGUGAAACAGUACCUGAAACCGGAUGCCUACAAACAGUUGGAGCCCAAGGUUUGUCCUGGGUGACAGCGUACCUUUUGUAUAAUGGGUCAGCGACUUAGUGUAUCGAGCAAGCUUAAGCCGGUAGGUGUAGGCGCAGCGAAAGCGAGUCUGAACAGGGCGUUCAGUUCGAUGCAUUAGACCCGAAACCAAGUGAUCUAGCCAUGAGCAGGUUGAAGGUACGGUAACACGUACUGGAGGACCGAACCCAUAUCUGUUGCAAUAGAUCGGGAUGACUUGUGGCUAGGGGUGAAAGGCCAAUCAAACUUGGAGAUAGCUGGUUCUCCGCGAAAUCUAUUUAGGUAGAGCGUCGACCGAAUACCCCCGGGGGUAGAGCACUGGAUGGGCUAUGGGGACUCACCGUCUUACUGAUCCUAACCAAACUCCGAAUACCGGGGAGUACUAGUCGGCAGACACACGGCGGGUGCUAACGUCCGUCGUGGAGAGGGCAACAACCCUGACCACCAUCUAAGGUCCCUAAGUUAUGGCUAAGUGGGAAAGGAUGUGAGGAUCCCAAAACAACCAGGAUGUUGGCUUAGAAGCAGCCAUCAUUUAAAGAAAGCGUAACAGCUCACUGGUCUAAAUAAGGGUCUUUGCGCCGAAAAUGUACCGGGGCUCAAGCCAUACACCGAAGCUGUGGAUGCACGUAUGUGCGUGGUAGCGGAGCGUUCCGUAAGCCUGUGAAGGGACAGUCGUGAGACAUCCUGGAGGUAUCGGAAGUGAGAAUGCUGACAUGAGUAACGAUAAAGGGAGUGAGAGACUCCCUCGCCGAAAGUCCAAGGGUUCCUGCUUAAAGUUAAUCUGAGCAGGGUUAGCCGGCCCCUAAGGCGAGGCCGAAAGGCGUAGUCGAUGGGAACCACGUUAAUAUUCGUGGGCCUGCAGGUAGUGACGGAUCGCGUGUGUUGUGAGGUCUUAUUGGAUUGAUCUUGCAGCGAAGCGGUUCCAGGAAAUAGCUCCUGCAUAUAGACCGUACCCUAAACCGACACUGGUGGACUGGUAGAGAAUACCAAGGCGCUUGAGAGAACUGCGUUGAAGGAACUCGGCAAAAUGCACGCGUAACUUCGGAAGAAGCGUGACCUCACUAUGGGCAACCAUAGGGGGGUGGCACAGACCAGGGGGUAGCGACUGUUUACCAAAAACACAGGGCUCUGCGAAGUUGCAAGACGACGUAUAGGGUCUGACGCCUGCCCGGUGCUGGAAGGUUAAGAGGAGAGGUGCAAGCCUUGAAUUGAAGCCCCAGUAAACGGCGGCCGUAACUAUAACGGUCCUAAGGUAGCGAAAUUCCUUGUCGGGUAAGUUCCGACCUGCACGAAUGGCGUAACGA